CUAAGAGUAAUCCCUAAACAGUAACAAUUUUAUUCUAGAAACCCUAGCUAAAAAAUACUCUCAACGUCGCUCUGCACUACGGUCGAUUUUCAGCCUUGAAAUCCCUUGCCAAACUCCGAUCGCAGCGAGGUAGACAAGGAUUUCGCGGCAGUUCUAGUCAGGUAACUUGCUCCUUUGCUUAAUCGUUUCUUUAUGUCUAAUAAGGAGCAACAGAAAGAUUCAAGAACAGGAAAAAAGAAAAUAACGAUAGAAAAAGAAAAAAUCACCAAUAUAAACUCAAAUCACCUUUAAAAGAGAAAACUUUCUUUUUUCUUUUUUUGUAUUGAUCGUGAGUGUGCGUAACCUUACAAGAAUGAAUCAAUCGGCCUUUUAUAUUGCCGAAUAUUACAAAAAUGGUGUUUUCCUUUUUUUUCUAUUAUUUCUUCCGUUUUUUAUAUCUGCUGGCCUAUUGUUGUCGUUGUUUUGCUGUGUUGUUUUCGUCUUCUUUGCUGGUACGGAGGCCAACUGGUGUACGAAGCUGUACAGUGACGUGGCGCGGAGCCUCGAUGCGUGCUGAAGGCAGGAGCGGCGACUGAGGCGUGUGAAGGCAUCGUGCGUGUGCGAAGGAGAGCAGAGAGGCGCUACUACUGCGGCGCUGGGAGCCAUGCUGCUAGGGUUUCUGAUUCAUUUUUGUGUUGGGCUUGUAACACGAUUGGGCUAGGGAUUGUAUUUGGGUUUAGGCUGAUGGGUUAAUUAGGCUUAGGUUAGGUUUGGGCCACUGUAAUAUGGACUAUUUUUUGAUUGUUAUUUUAUUUGGUUUAUUUUACGGGCCCGGGCAAAAAUGGGCUAUUACACCUUUUUCUUCUGUUUUUAUUAUCAUUUUAACAUUUAAUAUUAUAUUUAGUUAAAAUUUCAACAAGUAAAUCACCCAAAUUUAAGCACCAACUGUCCACUAUUAGUAAAAACGACC
rnacentral:lncRNA from 1 species